AAAGAGUAAGUAUCGUAAAGUUUAACAUCCGUAUCAUAACGUGCCUUACAUAUUUAUUACACAUUUGAGAUAUUUAACAUUUUUAAGGCAUUAUUUAACUUUAAUAUUAAAUCUAAAUUUCUUGUUGUAAUAUCGCCCCUUUCAGCUAUAACUUUCGUUUUUUUAUCUUCAGACAAUGGUCAUCCCACAGUAUCAAGACGGCAGAUCGGAGGACGCCCGGAGUUCCCGGAAGUUCUUUCGCUGCCUUCGUAGCAGCAGUUGGUGCCUGAAGAUCGCAAAGGAGCUCAAGACAUUGCUUCAAGGUAACCGUGUUCUGAAAGUGUUCAGAAAUACGAAAGACUAUACAGCCAACCUUCGAACAGGAGAAAACGAUUAGCACCAUCAAAAACAAUGAAACCGAACAGGAAGAGGCUAACGAUAAAAUCUAAGAUUAUUUAGAAAUAGGUGAAAUAAGGAACGAUCCUGUUGUCAAACGGACUUUGCAGAAAACAUGUCACUGGAUAUCAUUUAAAAAGGACAUCAAGUCAUCGGUCAAUACUAUUUUUGACUGAUUCACUCAAAAAUAUCAUCUCGUUAAAUCCAUUGCACUUUUAAAAGCUAAGCUGAAAUCCUCUUCGGAACCGGAGGAAUUUGUCGACAGCACUGAAGAACGAUCGGUUGCUAAUUUCGAAAGACGGCGUUCUAAAGAGGGUGUGAAUUUAUUGAAACUGUUCCAUGAAAAGUAAUUUCCUUCGUAGCAGCAUACCUGACGAUAAUGUUCUUGUCGACUUUGCAGAAUCAACAACUAUUAAAGCUGUUUCCGAAAUGCUUUCGUGGCCUGCGUAGCACCAGUUGAACAACUAGAAAAAAGGGCUUCACCCUGUCGGCAGGGAUUUCUACCGGAAACAGAAUCGAAGUCACUAAUAAUCAAAGGUUUGAAGAUCGGACAUUGUAUUAAUGAAAGUAUUCCGGCCUUCCAAAUUAAAAAAAUAUAUUCUGUUGCUUUAUUUGUUUAUUGAUUGCUGGACAAGUUCGUCGAUCUCCUAGAGGGCAACUGGAUAUCACUAAGGAGGUAGAAGUUGGGUCUAACAAUCGAGCACUGGGACCACCGAAACACCAUAGGCAAGUGCUGGACAUGUUUGAGGAAAUUCGGCUGAUGUGGCUUACUGUUUGUUCAAUUGGGCCGCUCAAAGUGUACUGCUCCGAGACCUGGCAUAUCGAUCAUCAAAUCUGCAAUCGAUUAUCAAGUAAAUCCUGCUAUCCAAUGGGCCCCAGAACGUCAACUCCUAUCAACAUUAUGAAGAUAUUUCCAUUGCAAGAAAAAAAAAAAGAAAAAUUUGUUAACGACAAUAGCUGCAGAAUGGAGAACAGGACCCUGAAUGAAAUUAUGAGUAGCGUAGAUAAAUCUAAGAGUCGAUCCGAGGCAUGGUUCCGGAAUAUUCUGUUGCUGCAACAACAGCAGUUCGAAGAGGCAAAGGAACAUGCCAAUAAGAAGAUGACUAAGAAGAAAUGAAGGAGUUGCCCCGUGCAAGACCGUGUGGGAAAGUGGAGAUAUAUUUUCUGCUACCCAAUUUUAUUGUUUGUUGAAGGUUGUAUACUGUUUACCGGAAUUCCAUUUACCGGAAAACCAUUUACCGGACUGCUAUUAACCGGAAUGAACCGUUUACUGGACUGCUUUUUACCGGAAUGAACUAUUUAUCGGAAUGUCAUUUACCGGAUUAAGAGUUUUAAGUACAAAUCUAUUAUUGUUUCCCGUUUACCCGUAAACUUUUGCCCAAAAUGGUUUUUAGAUUUUUAGGCAGGGUUUGGGUACUUUAAUUGAUUUUAUGCUAACCAGUGUCGCUUUUAAAAAUUGUUUUGGUAGACGACUCCUCACGCUACGCGUUCGAACUUCAAGGACGUAUUGUCCUCCACGCUGUUGGACAGGGCUAAGGGAUCACCCCUAGCUUUCACGCAGACCUAUGAAGCCCCGGCAGACCUAGAACCAUGUAUUAGAGCCGCCGCUUCCGACGACGGUUCGGCGGCCACCUCGGAUUUGGGAGCCUCGGCGGCUUUGUGCCGCCGCAGCGCCUUCAUCCUCGUUGGUUGCGACCUUGCCGCAAAUAAUAAUAUUGUAAAAACUUUUUUUUUAGAAAGAAGUUCUUUAUUCGAAUUCUAGUUUUCCAUUUUUUGUGAAAUUAUAAAUUCCGGCGAUAAAAAUUCUGGGGAAUGGUUCAGUCUGAUGUAAUUUUUUGGGGAAUUGGGGUACGACCCAAAUUUAUUUGUAUUAAAGAAAAUCCGGUAAAUGGUAGUUCCGUUAAAUGGUUUUCCAGUAAAUGGUAUAGUUUGGUAAAUGAUUUUCUGGUAAAUGGUAUAGUCCGGUAAAUGGAAUUCCGGUAAAUAGUACACUCCGGUAAAUGGUAUUCCGGUUAAUGGUACUUACGGUAAAUGGAAUUCCGGUAAAUGGAAUUCCGGUAAACAGUAUACAACCUUUGUUGAAUGAUUUGAAGAUUCUUUUUCUUUUGUAUCCGUAGGUGCAUGAUAAUUAAUGGCCGUUUCUUUUGCCAGUGGACAUCAGACUGUUCCCUACGUACAAAAAGGUAAUCAAGUAUCCGAUGGAUUUGUCGACGAUUAAGAAAAGCCUGCAGGAUUUGGUCUACAAAUCCCGGGUGGACUUCUAUAACGAACGUCCUGCUAAUCUUUGACAACUGAUUUCAACGAGGACUAUUCACAAGUGGGCACAGUCGGUCAUUGAAUGCGCCAGUAUUUUUAGUGAUGUUGGGCUGAACUGACCGUGAAGCCACCCACGCAACAACCACAACAACAGCAACCAUCGUCACAGCAGGAUCAACAACAUUCCGGACCCUUAUCUUAACUAGGCAGUUAAAUUGAAACUAGUUUUUUUUUAAUAUAGGUUUGUUUAUUAAGGCAUUUUACUUAUAAAGUUUCAUUUUGUCGAGUGGAUCACUUAUUAAUCUAUGUUAGAAGAGGGAGGAGCCGUAAUAGUUGCGGCGACUCAUAUGUUAGCUUUGAUUCUAAUUUGGAAGGGAACAUUAAUAGGAAACAUAUACAGGGGGGAGUUACAAAAGUAGACGACAAAGUCAGACAUUUUAAGAAAUUUGAAGAAAGUUGAAACAAGGUAAAAUAGAAGGAAAACAAGGCCUAAAACAAAUUAAGUGGAUAUUACAGGUUUAUUGAAUUUAUCAAGUAAACAACUGUGGGCAAAUAUGAUGAAUUGUAGUAUUGAGACUGCAUAACCAAACUCAUACAAUGAAUAUUGAUUCGGCCUUAAAAAGUUUAUCAUUAUACAAUUAUAUUUAAUAUAAGCUACUAUUCGAAACCUAAAAUAGAAGAAAA